AGAUUUAUUUGUGACUCGAAAUAU
rnacentral:siRNA from 1 species